CUGGCACAGAGUCUGGCACCAAGCAGGCACUCAGGGGCUACCUGCUGAGUGAACACAGGAAGGCAGGAUGAAGGGGGACUGUAACACUUUGGUACCACAUCACAUCCCCUUGUCCCACCUCUGACUUCAGCUGCAAUGAAGUGGACCGUCCUAACUCACACGGACAGGUGUACGACCUCAAGCAGGUGCUUUUCUGCCUUGGAGCUUUUCCCAAAGCCUCCUGAAGCCACUAGCACAGCUCAGAAGGUACUGCCUCUAUCACAUCCCAACAGAAGACGGAUGGUUUAUUCCUUGGAGUGGGUAAAAGCAAGGGACUCUGCACCGGAGAAGGGAAGAUCCAGUCAAAGGGAACAGGCAUCUCAUGAAAAUGGGGACUGACGUGAAUCUUCACACUGAAUACUGAUACUCCCAACUGGUAACCAGGCUGAGUAUGAGCUUCUAGACAGGAGACUGAGAGUCAAUUCUCUGUGGACCUGAGAAACCCAGGAGGAAAGAUCUAAAGGCAGUGACAUCAGAAGUUGCCCAGCGAAAGAGCCCAGCCAGAUCACCUCCAGAGGAGUCCUUGGUAGGCAACAGACUCUGAGCCCUGAGAAGCCUCCAUGUGCAGAAAAGUCAAGGCUCACCAGGCACAGGAGGGAAGCACUUAACCCGGAGACAAAAAAUAACAAAUAGAAAGUCACUUUGAGGGAACACAGAUGAUGAUGAUAAGGAGAAGAAAAUGCCAAAACCUUGAUGUAUCAGUUAUCAUCAAGGACAUAAGCGAUAUAGCCCACAUUAAACAAGUACAGGAUGUUAUUAAUAAGGAACAUUCUGAGAACAAAAAAUAUCUCUUGGAUAGCUGUAUUCCUGGUGUUUAAACUGGAUGCCCUUAAAUAUUUAAUAUUCAUACCUAGAAAUUAUAUUUUCCUAACAACGUGUAAGGCAGUGCUGUCCAAUAGAAAUAUCAUAUGAGUCAUGUGCCUUAAACAUUGUUAGGAAAAUAUAUUUCUAGGUAAACACUUAAGGGCAACCAGUUAAACAACCAACAUAAAGCUAUAGUUUCCAAACUAUCAAAG